UGAAAAGCUGUGUUAUUGUGCCACCUACCGGUGCGAAAGGUAACUGCCCGUUUCCUGAACACAUGAGUGUGAAAGCACAUGUACGCUGCCUGCUGCUCAGAUAACGAGAGACAGACCUCGGCUUGAUCUCAGGACGUCGUCUCUGCUAAACUUGUGCUGUUCUUCCCCAGCCUGCCUACAGCCGAUCAAUACCACUGGAGUUGAAGAUACAGUGGCAGUUUGUUCCUCCAGUGGAUAAAUCCCCGUCACUACGCCGUUAGCGAAUGAAAUGGGACUUCCAUGUGUAAAGCUAGUGAAGAUGAGUAUGCUCUGAUGCUGAUGAUUAACGAUGUGGCUUGCGCCGAUUCUAAGCGGGAAGCUCACAUCGUCCCUUGGGUAUGAUCUCACUGAAAGGUACCCAAAAAAAAAAAAAAAAAAACAA